UGAGGGUGCCUUCGGGAGCCCACAAGACAGGUGUGCAUGGUUGUCGUCAGCUCCGUGUCGUGAGAUGUUGGGUUAAGUCCCGCAACGAGCGCAACCCUUGCUAUUAGUUGCUAACAUUUAGGGUGAGCACUCUAAUGGGACUGCCUGUGACAAGCAGGAGGAAGGUGGGGAUGACGUCAAAUCAUCAUGCCCUUUAUGACCUGGGCUACACACGUGCUACAAUGGAUGGUACAGAGAGCAGCGAGACCGUGAGGUGGAGCGAAUCUCUUAAAGCCAUUCUCAGUUCGGAUUGGAGUCUGCAACUCGACUCCAUGAAGUCGGAAUCGCUAGUAAUCGCGAAUCAGAACGUCGCGGUGAACUGCGUUCCCGGGCCUU
rnacentral:rRNA from 1 species